ACUUUACAAUAUUGUGGCUACCCUUGUCAGCUGCAACCUACCGAGGAGAGAGAGAGCGAUAAAUUGGGCAACUGGCAUGAAGAGGGGAGCAAGUACUAAGCAAAGUUAAUAGUUUCGCUUCCUCAAUUAGCUCUUAUAACCAUGGUACUCAUAGCCAUAACAAUAAUAGUCGUCAGCUUACUCAGCAAUGAAAUAGGCUUUGUUCUUGGGGACAUUGGGACUGCUACUUCUUAUCAACCGCCAUAUUUACCUACUAAGUGUAAUGGGAAUAGACAAGAUCAAUUCCCACCAGGGAACUUGUUUGUUUCUGUGAGUGAAGGUUUGUGGGAUAAUGGUGCUGCUUGUGGGAGGCGUUACAGGUUGAGGUGCCUAAGUGGAAAUAAUAAGCCAUGCAAGGAUGGGACUAUUGACGUCAGGGUAGUGGAUUUCUGCAGAAAAUCACCAUGUCCUUCUACUAUUCUCUUGUCAAAUGAUGCCUUUUCUUCUGUAUCAUACUCUCCAUCCGCAAAAAUCAACGUUGAAUACAUCCAGAUAUGAUGGAACAAUUAAGAUAUAUAUAUAUGUUCCCGAACUGUAUCAAGCAAUCCGACAGAUAGAAGCUGUGAAGGGAAAAUGGCGUUUCUCUAAUCUUAGAAGUAGUAGCAGCUUUGUACUCCCAUUUCUGAUUGUUCCAUGUUUUAAUAUGAAUAUCUAUCUCAUAUAGAUAUCACAUAUAAUUAUACUAAUAACCAUUCACAAGCGAAGAUUAUAGAGCAAAUCAAUAGAUCGAAUUACGCACCCUUCCUCA